UACACAUUUGUGAAGACUACACAGAAAACCUUUCGUGGGCUUGUGGAUGUCUGAUGUUUUGUGUA
rfam:Xenopus laevis strain J chromosome 4S, whole genome shotgun sequence.